rnacentral:lncRNA from 1 species
UAGGCUUCUAGCAGGAAGUAUGGCCCAGAUUAAAGAUGUGUCUUCUCACCUCAAAAUCUGAAUCAAAGCCCCUGUAGUAGGCGGAAGUAUCAUUGGAGCUGUUGUCCUCAGCCCUGCUCUGCACACCAGUGUUCGUGAAAUGAGUGCCCUAUCACUGUCAAUGCUCUGAGCAUGUCUCUACACACCCUUGAGUUAGAUGAGACCUUUGAUGAUGAUCAUCAGCCUUGCCUGAUGUUUAUUUCCUGGAAAUACU